AUGAAGGUCAAGAAGGGAUGCGUAGUAAUUCAAGUUGGUUCACAGGAACAACAAUCUCAACAAGGUGAUGCUCAAAGAUUUCUCAUCCCUAUUUCAUAUCUUCAUCAUCCUCUUUUCAACAAUCUUCUUGACAUGGCUUAUGACAGUUAUGGUUACACCACUCAUGGCCCCCUCAAGCUGCCUUGUUCGGUUGAUGACUUUCUUCACCUCAGGUGGCAGGUUGAAAAAGAAUCAACAUCCCACCCUCAUCACCAUUACUAUCUCCCUUACGCCUUGUUUUUCAUCUCUUGUUAG
rnacentral:lncRNA from 1 species